rnacentral:rRNA from 1 species
AUAGAACGCUGGCGGCAGGCCUAACACAUGCAAGUCGAACGAGUGGCGGACGGGUGAGUAAUGUCUGGGAAACUGCCUGAUGGAGGGGGAUAACUACUGGAAACGGUAGCUAAUACCGCAUACCAUCGGAUGUGCCCAGUUGGGAUUAGCUAGUAGGUGGGGUGAUGGCUCACCUAGGCGACGAUCCCGAGCUGGUCUGAGAGGAUGCCCAGGCACAGUGGAAAUGAGAAACGGUCCAGAAGCCUACGGGAGGCAGCAGUGGGGAAUAUUGCACAAUGGGCGCAAGCCUGAUGCAGCCAAGCCGCGUGUAUGAAGAAGGCCUUCGGGUUGUAAAGUACUUUCAGCGGGGAGGCGUUACCCGCAGAAGAAGCACCGGCUAACUCCGUGCCAGCCGCCGCGGUAAUAC